rnacentral:rRNA from 1 species
UACGAAGGGGGCUAGCGUUGUUCGGAAUCACUGGGCGUAAAGGGCGCGUAGGCGGCUUGACAAGUCAGGUGUGAAAGCCCCGGGCUCAACCCGGGAAUUGCACUUGAUACUGAAGAUCUUGAGUUCGGGAGAGGUGAGUGGAACUGCGAGUGUAGAGGUGAAAUUCGUAGAUAUUCGCAAGAACACCGGUGGCGAAGGCGGCAUCCUGGACCGAUACUGACGCUGAGGAGCGAAAGCCAGGGGAGCAAAC